GACGUAGGGUGCGAGCUUUGUCCGGAUUUAUUGGGCGUAAAGAGCUCGUAGGCGGCUCGUCGCGUCGACCGUGAAAACCCGCAGCUUAACUGCGGGCUUGCGGUUGAUACGGGCGGGCUAGAGUUCGGUAGGGGAGACUGGAAUUCCUGGUGUAGCGGUGAAAUGCGCAGAUAUCAGGAGGAACACCGGUGGCGAAGGCGGGUCUCUGGGCCGAUACUGACGCUGAGGAGCGAAAGCGUGGGGAGCGAACAGG
rnacentral:rRNA from 1 species